rnacentral:rRNA from 1 species
UCAUUUAGAGGAAGUAAAAGUCGUAACAAGGUCUCCGUUGGUGAACCAGCGGAGGGAUCAUUACCGAGUUUACAACUCCCAAACCCAAUGUGAACGUUACCAAACUGUUGCCUCGGCGGGGUCACGCCCCGGGUGCGUCGCAGCCCCGGAACCAGGCGCCCGCCGGAGGAACCAACCAAACUCUUUCUGUAGUCCCCUCGCGGACGUAUUUCUUACAGCUCUGAGCAAAAAUUCAAAAUGAAUCAAAACUUUCAACAACGGAUCUCUUGGUUCUGGCAUCGAUGAAGAACGCAGCGAAAUGCGAUAAGUAAUGUGAAUUGCAGAAUUCAGUGAAUCAUCGAAUCUUUGAACGCACAUUGCGCCCGCCAGUAUUCUGGCGGGCAUGCCUGUCCGAGCGUCAUUUCAACCCUCGAACCCCUCCGGGGGAUCGGCGUUGGGGAUCGGGACCCCUCACACGGGUGCCGGCCCCUAAAUACAGUGGCGGUCUCGCCGCAGCCUCUCCUGCGCAGUAGUUUGCACAACUCGCACCGGGAGCGCGGCGCGCCCACGUCCGUAAAACACCCAACUUUCUGAAAUGUUGACCUCGGAUCAGGUAGGAAUACCCGCUGAACUUAAGCAUAUCAAUAAGCGGAGGAA